GGAAGUAAAAGUCGAACAAGGUCUCCGUAGGUGAACCUGCGGAGGGAUCAUUACAGAGUUCGUGCCCUCACGGGUAGAUCUCCCACCCUGUGUUAUUAUACCUUUGUUGCUUUGGCGGGCCGCCCUCGGCUACCGGCCCCGGCUGGUACGCGCCCGCCAGAGGACCCCAAACUCUGAAUGUUAGUGUCGUCUGAGUACUAUACAAUAGUUAAAACUUUCAACAACGGAUCUCUUGGUUCUG
rnacentral:misc_RNA from 1 species